AACGAACGCUGGCGGCAUGCCUAACACAUGCAAGUCGAACGAGACCUUCGGGUCUAGUGGCGCACGGGUGCGUAACGCGUGGGAAUCUGCCCUUGGGUUCGGAAUAACAGUUGGAAACGACUGCUAAUACCGGAUGAUGACGUAAGUCCAAAGAUUUAUCGCCCAAGGAUGAGCCCGCGUAGGAUUAGCUAGUUGGUGAGGUAAAGGCUCACCAAGGCGACGAUCCUUAGCUGGUCUGAGAGGAUGCUCAGCCACACUGGGGCUGCGACACGGCCCAGACUCCUACGGGAGGCAGCAGUGGGGAAUAUUGGACAAUGGGCGAAGGCCUGAUCCAGCAAUGCCGCGGGAGUGAUGAAGGCCUUAGGGUUGUAAAGCUCUUUUACCCGGGAUGAUAAUGACAGUACCGGGAGAAUAAGCUCCGGCUAACUCCGUG
rnacentral:rRNA from 1 species